rnacentral:rRNA from 1 species
UCCGGUGACUAUGGCGGAGGGGCUACACCUGUUCCCAUCCCGAACACAGAAGUUAAGCCCUCCAGCGCCGAUGAUACUGCAUGGGUGACUGUGUGGGAAAGUAGGUCGUUGCCGGGA